rnacentral:rRNA from 1 species
AGCAGCCGCGGUAAUUCCAGCUCCAAUAGCGUAUAUUAAAGUUGUUGCAGUUAAAAAGCUCGUAGUUGAAUUUCGGGAUUAGUACGUUGGUCGUGCCUUAGGUACGUACUGGUGUUACUGGUUCCUACCUUCUGACGAACCAUCAUGUCAUUAAUUUGGUGUGGCGGGGAAUCAGGACUGUUACUUUGAAAAAAUUAGAGUGUUUAAAGCAGGCUCGCGCUUGAAUACAUUAGCAUGGAAUAAUGAAAUAGGACGUUGACCCUAUUUUGUUGGUUUCUAGGCUUGACGUAAUGAUUAAUAGGGAUAGUUGGGGGCAUUAGUAUUCAAUUGUCAGAGGUGAAAUUCUUGGAUUUAUUGAAGACUAACUACUGCGAAAGCAUUUGCCAAGGAUGUUUUCAUUAAUCAAGAACGAAAGUUAGGGGAUCGAAGACGAUCAGAUACCGUCGUAGUCUUAACCAUAAACUAUGCCGACUAGGGAUCGGAUGAUGUUAAUUUUUUAAUGACUCA